AUCAAUUACAGGGAAUCCUCGGCUAUCCUCAUUACAGAUGACUCAGAUGACAGAAGUAGAGUGGAGAGUUUGUUGCAAUGCACCAUGGGUCAAUUCCCUUGUAAAUACCUCGGUUUACAGUUGGCGGUGAAGAAGCUUACAAAGGUGCAGUGGCAGCCGUUGCUUGAUCAGGUGAGGCACUUCAUCCCCGCAUGGCAGAGAGGCCUCAUGCAACGCUCGGGGAGGCUGGUUCUGGUGAAGUCGGUGGUGGCGGCAAGGCCGGUCCACCAUCUUCUGGUUAUGAAGGCGCCUGCUUGGGUCCUUGAGGACAUGGACAGUUGGAUGAGAGCCUUUUUCUGGGCUAGGAAAGACAAGGUCCAUGGGGGUCAAUGCUUAGUUGCAUGGAACACUAUAUGCAAGCCCCUGGUCUAUGGUGGUCUCGGGGUGAAAAAUCUUCAACUUCAAGCACUCGCGCUAAGAGUGAGAUGGGAAUGGCUAAGGCGGACCGACCAACUCCGGCCUUGGCAAGGGUUGCAUAUGAUGGUGGAUGAGGAUGCGAGGAGGGUUUUUGAUAGUUUGGUGAGCAUCACGGUCGGUAAAGGGGACAAGGUCCUGUUCUGGCGAGACAGGUGGAUACAUGGAUUCACCGUCAAAGACAUCGCGCCCACGCUGUUCCAAGGAGUGAGCGUCAAAGUAAGGAACACCAAGACGGUUGCUCAGGCCAUUCAGGGGGAGAGUUGGACACUGGAUGUGCAGCUCCAGUUCUCGUUUGGUGCGCUUUUGCAAGCCAUGCAUCUGAGGCAUGCAGUUGCAUCGGUGCCAAGA
rnacentral:rRNA from 1 species